GUGGGGAAUUUUGGACAAUGGGCGCAAGCCUGAUCCAGCAAUGCCGCGUGCAGGAAGAAGGCCUUCGGGUUGUAAACUGCUUUUGUACGGAACGAAACGGUCCUGGUUAAUACCCGGGGCUAAUGACGGUACCGUAAGAAUAAGCACCGGCUAACUACGUGCCAGCAGCCGCGGUAAUACGUAGGGUGCAAGCGUUAAUCGGAAUUACUGGGCGUAAAGCGUGCGCAGGCGGUUUUGUAAGAUCGAUGUGAAAUCCCCGGGCUCAACCUGGGAACUGCAUUGGUGACUGCAAGGCUGGAGUGCGGCAGAGGGGGAUGGAAUUCCGCGUGUAGCAGUGAAAUGCGUAGAUAUGCGGAGGAACACCGAUGGCGAAGGCAAUCCCCUGGGCCUGCACUGACGCUCAUGCACGAAAGCGUGGGGAGCAAACAGGAUUAGAAACCCCGGUAGUCC
rnacentral:rRNA from 1 species